rnacentral:misc_RNA from 1 species
AAGGUUAUAGUGCAAAUCAACAGCCUAGCCCUAACCCAGGGAGUUACCCUCCACCAAGUCAGUCGGGGUACGGAAUGACUGCACCUUCCCAAACUGGCUAUGGAAAUCAACCAGCUGCUCAGGCUGCGUAUGGGGCUGCUUAUGGAGCUCCUCAGACUCAGAAACAGCCUGCGAAUCCGCCGGCAUAUGGUCAGAGCACUCAGUCACCAAGCACGCCCAGUGGCUAUGGGCAACCUGCUGCAUUGCCGUCUGGAUAUUCAGGUUCUCAGCCUCCCACAUCUGGGUACACUCAAUCAGAUUCUGCUACUCAACGUGCUCCACCAUCCGGUUAUGGUACUGCAGCUCAGCCAGGGUUUGCACCACCGCCUUAUGGUGUUCCUCCAACAAAUCAGCCAGCAUACGGGCAAGCUCCAGCACCUUAUAGCUCCUCUUAUGGUGCUGGUUACCCUCAGCCCCAAUAUUCAUCUGAAGGUAAUGCAGGUGGCGCUACUCGUGGGGGCUACGAUUCUGCGUCGGCUGCUCAGACAGCGCCCCAAAGUGGGGUUGUAAAAGCAUCACCAAAAAGUUGAUCAAUGUAUGUGUGUUUAGGUGUGUAUGUUGCGGAGGACGGUUAACUUUGUUCCCUAUGGUUAGUUUUUAUUAGGCCAGGUAGUGUUAUGAGACCUCAUUU